rnacentral:lncRNA from 1 species
CUCGGGUCAGCUUCAGCUGAUGGUAGAAGUGGGGACGGAGGGCUCCAGGCAGUGGUCUAGAAUGUCUGCCUCAGGGGACCCCCACCGCCCUCCAGAUUUGCUGGAAAGGACUCUGCCAGCUCCUGCAAGUUUACAGAUCCAGGAACUGCUCCGCCCAGUGCAACAGCCGUGGGGUGUGCAACCACAAGGGAGAGUGCCACUGCCACCCGGGCUGGGCGCCGCCCCACUGCGCAGAGCCGCUGCCCCAUACGCGCACAGGGUCCAGGAGCCCCCUGGUGGGCGUGCUGGUGUCCGUGGUGGUGUCCAUGGUGCUGCUGGUGGCUCUCCUGGCAGGCGUGGUCGCCUUUUGGAAGGCCCGGAGCCGUGUCUGUUCGAGGAGCGCAGCACCCAAGACUGCCAAGGGGCUCUCCAACCCCCUGUUUCACGAGGGGCAUGGUAUGCCAGCCAAGGGUGGGGCUCCGUCCCCCACCACCCACCCCAGCCAGCCCACCACGCCCACAACCUGCACGGCGACCCCUAA